UCAAGUAUUCCAGAUGGUAGA
rnacentral:siRNA from 1 species